CUGAUUCUAUAGGUCAGAGACGUGUUGUGUUAGCUGUCUGAUUCUGCAGGUCAGAGAGACGUGUUUUAUCUGAUUCUGCAGGUCAGAGAGACGUGUUUUGUCUGAUUCUACAGGUCAGAGAGACGUGUUUUGUCUGAUUCUACAGGUCAGAGAGACGUGUUUUGUCUGAUUCUACAGGUCAGAGACGUGUUUUGUCUGAUUCUACAGGUCAGAGACGUGUUUUGUCUGAUUCUACAGGUCAGAGAGACGUGUUUUGUCUGAUUCUACAGGUCAGAGAGACGUGUUUUGUUAGCAGAUUUUGAAGACCUCCUUGCUCACCUCCAAUUUACUCAUGUCAAAAAAUUGUAACGAUAACUCUUCUAUAUACAGGAAGUACCAUUACUGAGUCUAUAUACAGGAAUACCAGGUAAUAACAUGGUUAUAUAC
rnacentral:lncRNA from 1 species